rnacentral:rRNA from 1 species
UACGUAGGUGGCAAGCGUUGUCCGGAAUUACUGGGCGUAAAGGGCGCGCAGGCUGUAGAUCAAGUCAGCUGUGAAAUGUCUGGGCUUAACCCGGGCAUGCGGUUGAAACUGAUGUACUGGAGUGCUGUAGAGGCAAGUGGAAUUCCCAGUGUAGCGGUGAAAUGCGUAGAUAUUGGGAAGAACACCGGUGGCGAAGGCGACUUGCUGGGCAGCAACUGACGCUGAGGCGCGAAAGCCAGGGGAGCAAACGGGAUUA